GACGAACGCUGGCGGCGUGGAUUAGGCAUGCAAGUCGAACGGUAUCAUCCUUUCGGGGGUGAGAGAGUGGCGAACUGGUGAGUAACACGUAGGUUAUCUACCCUCAAGACGGGGACAACCCAGGGAAACUUGGGCUAAUACCGGAUGUGAGCAACUUUUAGUUGUUUGAAAGGUGGCGUAAGCUGUCGCUUGGGGAUGAGCCUGCGUCCUAUUAGUUAGUUGGUGAGGUAACGGCUCACCUAGGCAAUGAUAGGUAGGCGGCCUUAACGGGUGGUCGCCCACACUGGGAUUGAGAUACGGCCCAGACUCCUACGGGAGGCAGCAGUCGAGAAUAGUCUACAAUGGUCGGAAGACUGAUAGUGCGACGCCGCGUGAACGAUGAAUCCCUUCGGGGUGUAAAGUUCUUUUAUAUGUGAGCAGUGCUUCUUAUAUUAACAGUAUGGGGAGAGAGAUAUUAGCAUAUGAAUAAGCAACGGCUAACUCCGUGCCAGCAGCCGCGGUAAUUU
rnacentral:rRNA from 1 species